UACAGAGGGUGCGAGCGUUAAUCGGAUUUACUGGGCGUAAAGGGUGCGUAGGCGGUUGUAUGAGUGUGAUGUGAAAGCCCUGGGCUUAACCUAGGAAGUGCAUCGCAAACGAUACAGCUAGAGUGUGAGAGAGGGUGGUGGAAUUUCCGGUGUAGCGGUGAAAUGCGUAGAGAUCGGAAGGAACGUCAAUGGCGAAGGCAGCCACCUGGCUCAAUACUGACGCUGAGGCACGAAAGCGUGGGGAGCGAACAGG
rnacentral:rRNA from 1 species